CCGUACCGCCCUCAGCCCGACUACCCGAGGCCAAGCGCGGCCGGGGAAGGGGACCGCUCCCCGCCCACGCCCUGCUUUGAGCGGCCUCGCUCACUCCCUCUGCCCUCCCUCGGGGAAUGCCGCGGCGGCCGCGCCCUCCGCCCACGGCAGCCUCUCACCCCCCGCGGCGGGCGGUGGCGCCCCUCCGCCAGCCUUAGCGCCCCGCCCCUCCACCCGAAGCGCGUGCGCUCAUUGGCUGUGGGUGCUGUCACUCCGACUCUCUCCCACCAACCCAGGAGGCGGCCCGGCGGUGUUCCGCCUCUCCGCCGGGAGCGCGUUCGCUCAUUGGCUGUUGGAGCUGUCACUCCGCCUCGCCCCGCCGGCCCGAGGGCGGCUCGGGGGCGCCUCCCCGCGCACCUGCGGCAGGGCUGGGGUCGGCCGCGCCCUGCGCCGCUGAGGCACCGUGCGGUGCGCAGUCGGCGCGGUGCUCUGCAGUUUUUGCUUGAAUAUCAGUGCCCCAGGGCUUGAGGUCCGGCUCUGUGCGCUCUCUGCACGUACUGUGCCUGCCUUUCGCCUGUCCCCGCGAAACGGGAGACACAGACGGGAGGAGCCGGGAAUAACGGAAUGGAUGAGGCGGUCCUGAGGGACGCCUGGCACACAGAGAUGGCAGCAGCGCUCGGGUCGGAGUGAACACUCACAGCACCUAGCUUAUUUACGAGGAAGGUUUCCCAUAGCACAGGGAUAUUUUAAAUGAUUCUCUUUGGAGGAAGUGGUCUAUUUGUAUAGGAAGGUGAUUUUACUUCUAUGGAAAGGAGGAGCAAGUUACUACCCCUGAGGCCAACUGGUACUGUACAUAUCCAAAAGGAAGUGCCAGGACAGGAAGAGGCAUACAGCACUCAAUUCACAGAGCAGGACUUGCCAUACAAUUAACGAAAUGCCUAAAUGACAAAUGCAGUGCACUGAAACCUGCCAUGAGAGAAUUUCAAAGACAGUCACAAAAGACAAAGCAUUGAAGCUCCACUAAUUUGCAGGGAUUGGCCUGUCCCUGUUGCUGGCUGGAGCAGGGAGCCUGGAGCAUGGAGCAGCUGGAGCUGUGCCCAUGUGGUGUGAGCACAGCUGGCUCUUGGAUGUGUUCCGACCCUUUUGGCAACAGCUGAGAGGUGAUGUCCAUCCAAUAAAUGGGGUCCACUCUAAAAACGA